UUGGUGCUGUUGUGAAUGAUCAAAGGAC
rnacentral:piRNA from 1 species